AGUUUCCGCCCGGGAUCGAACCGGGGACCUUGUGCGUGUGAAGCACACGUGAUAACCGCUACACCACAGAAAA
rnacentral:tRNA from 1 species